rnacentral:rRNA from 1 species
UACAGAGGUCUCGAGCGUUGUUCGGAUUCAUUGGGCGUAAAGGGUGCGUAGGUGGCGCUGUAAGUCGGGUGUGAAAUCCUGAGGCUUAACCUCGGAACUGCAUUCGAUACUGCGGCGCUUGAGGACUGGAGAGGAGACUGGAAUUCAUGGUGUAGCAGUGAAAUGCGUAGAGAUCGGGAGGAACAUCAGUGGCGAAGGCGGCCAUCUGGGACAACACUGACGCUGAAGCACGAAAGCGUGGGGAGCAAACAGG